rnacentral:rRNA from 1 species
UGGGGAAUAUUGGACAAUGGGCGCAAGCCUGAUCCAGCAAUGCCGCGUGAGUGAUGAAGGCCUUAGGGUUGUAAAGCUCUUUCGCCGAUGACGAUGAUGACGGUAAUCGGAGAAGAAGCCCCGGCUAACUUCGUGCCAGCAGCCGCGGUAAUACGAAGGGGGCUAGCGUUGUUCGGAGUUACUGGGCGUAAAGGGCGCGUAGGCGGCCAGUUUAGUCAGGCGUGAAAGCCCGGGGCUCAACCCCGGAGGUGCGCUUGAUACUGACAGGCUUGAGUGCGGGAGAGGAUGGUGGAAUUCCCAGUGUAGAGGUGAAAUUCGUAGAUAUUGGGAAGAACACCGGUGGCGAAGGCGGCCAUCUGGACCGUAACUGACGCUGAGGCGCGAAAGCGUGGGGAGCAAACAGGAUUAGAUACCCCUGUAGUCC